AGCACUUGCAUCUGUUUUGUCUAACCUGUGGACUAAGGGAUAAGGGAGGUACAAAACAUAAAUCCUCUUUUGCAACCCAGGACUCCGUGCUCAGCAUGGGCUCCGAUGCAUGGAGGAGGGACAGG
ensembl:snoRNA